GAGGGAAAGCUCCCAGAAGUUGACCUGCUGAAAGACUGAUGUGAAGUUUGACAUUAAUAAUAAAUCACCCCAAAUGGUGGGCAGAGUUCGGCCGGUUGGAGAAGGAGUUCCUUAUCUCACCAUGGCUUGUCUAUUACGUGGGAUGGUGUCCGUGCCUGAAAUGCCACCGUGGGACCCCAUCACCUGGCUGAAGAGGCUAAUGAUGACACCGCACUGUGACAGUACUAGAAGGUGAUGUGUGACUGUGCAGCAGGGUGACAAUGUAACUAACCCUGAAAGAGAGGGAUUUUCCAAACGUGCCACCAAAGGCUGAAUCCACACCUGCAUUCACGGAACUAUAGACGGACCCUGCUACUCCACAAACGCGGUCGGCCACACAUCGGAUGCAGAGUCCCGGGCUCCUUCCUGUGCGGGAGUUCACGUCCGUCAGUGAGGAGAAGGCCCGCAUCGCCGUACAAGCGGAGGGCAGAGGGCACAGCCGGGCGUCCCACAAGGGAAACGCAAGCUGCAGCGAAGUGUGGACAAACGUGAGAAAACCUUCAACCUCACCAAUAAUCCAAGAGAUACAAAGGAAUACGUAGCACCUUUUUUUUUUUUUAACCUGUCACACUGGCAAAAACUGGCAAAAACAAUUUGUCACUUUUUAUAAAGUGCUAAUAACCGGUGCUGGCAAGGAGAUAGGAAAUGGAGGUGCGCUUCAUCGAGGGCAGGGUUCUGGAUUAACAUAAUUUCUGGAGGUUGAGUUGGUCACAAAUACCAAAUGUAAAAAUAUCCUUUGAAUCAGAAAUCUCACUUUUCAAAUUCAUCUUUAAGAAAUAGGAUACGUAUACAGAGAUGUAUGCACUAGGGUGAUUUAUUGCAGCUUUGUAUGAUAGUGAAAAGUUGGAAACCGCUUAACUGUCCUUCAAGCGUGGGUUUGCUGAAUGAAUCAUGCUGCAGCCACCUCUGUGAAGUGCUAGACGACUUCUGAAAAUGACGGCUACGAAUCUAUCGUUAUUGGCACAAAAAGAAGUACACGAUAUAUUGUUCUGUUUAAAAAAGUCUCCCAAAGCAACCCAAGUAGCCAUGGAUGGGUGAACGGACAGACAAAAUGUGGUCUAUACAGACGGUGGAAUAGGAUUCAGCCUUUAAAAGGAAGGAAAUUCUGACACCUGCCACAAUGCGGAUGAACCUUGAGGACAUUGUGCUCAGUGAAAUAAACCAGUCACAAAAAGACAAAUACUGUGAUUCCUCUUACAUGAGGUCCCUAGGGGAGUCAGAUUCACAGAGAUGGAAAGUAGAA